rnacentral:rRNA from 1 species
GAUGAACGCUGGCGGCGUGCCUAAUACAUGCAGGUCGAGCGAACGGACGCGAAGCUUGCUUCUCUGAUGUUAGCGGCGGACGGGUGAGUAACACGUGGAUAACCUACCUAUAAGACUGGGAUAACUUCGGGAAACCGGAGCUAAUACCGGAUAAUAUUUUGAACCGCAUGGUUCAAUAGUGAAAGACGGUCUUGCUGUCACUUAUAGAUGGAUCCGCGCUGCACUAGCUAGUUGGUAAGGUAACGGCUUACCAAGGCAACGAUGCAUAGCCGACCUGAGAGGGUGAUCGGCCACACUGGAACUGAGACACGGUCCAGACGCCUACGGGAGGCAGCAGUAGGGAAUCUUCCGCAAUGGUCGAAAGCCUGACGGAGCAACGCCGCGUGAGUGAUGAAGGUCUUCGGAUCGUAAAACUCUGUUAUUAGGGAAGAACAUAUGUGUAAGUAACUGUGCACAUCGUGACGGUACCUAAUCAGAAAGCCACGGCUAACUACGUG